rfam:Schistosoma rodhaini strain Burundi genome assembly, scaffold: SROB_scaffold0000810
GUUUAGGACUGACGAGUCUCAAAUAGGACGAAACGCGCGGCCUAGAU